GAUGAACGCUGGCGGCGUGCCUAAUACAUGCAAGCCGAGCGAACCACUUCGGUGGUGAGCGGCGAACGGGUGAGUAACACGUAGGUGAUCUGCCCAUCAGACGGGGACAACGGUUGGAAACGAUCGCUAAUACCGGAUAGGAAGAAAGUUUAAAGGUGCUUCUGGCACCGCUGAUGGAUGAGCCUGCGGCGCAUUAGCUAGUUGGUAGGGUAAAGGCCUACCAAGGCGACGAUGCGCAGCCGACCUGAGAGGGUGAACGGCCACACUGGGACUGAGACACGGCCCAGACUCCUACGGGAGGCAGCAGUAGGGAAUCUUCGGCAAUGGGCGAAAGCCUGACCGAGCAACGCCGCGUGAAUGAUGAAGGCCUUCGGGUUGUAAAAUUCUGUUAUAAGGGAAGAACGACUUUAGUAGGAAAUGGCUAGAGUGUGACGGUACCUUAUGAGAAAGCCACGGCUAACUACGUGCCAGCAGCCGCAGUAA
rnacentral:rRNA from 1 species